AGCUAGGUGAGCUGGAACAACCUCUGAACCUAAGUGGAGCCACGCAAAGCCCUAGAAUGGCCGUUGUUAGUCUGGAUAUCGGAUGUAAACUUUGAUUGGUUGAAAUGUAAAAUCCUAUCUAAGGGGCAUUCUGAUUGGAUUACAAGCAUCUUUGUACCGAAUUUUUACAUCGUUCAAAAGCUGAUAUCAUAAGAACUGAGAAAUGUGGAAAUAUUGUAAACAGAAACAUGCCUUUCGUUCUCGAGCAGAUUUGUCUACUUAGGCGAAUGAUAUUACAGAGGACAAUGAGGACAGUGGGCGAAAACCAUUUAGGCAGCCGGCCAAAUUUUAGACGGUCGGCCAAAACCUGAAAAUGUGCAACAAAAUUUGUUUGUUGCCGUUUUUUGUUACAAGCUGUCAACUAACAAUUUCAUAGAGCAUAUGCAUUAACGAACAAGACUAAAUAUGUUGGCAACUCUGAUUUUUGCUAAUUUUGCCUAUAGUAAGUACUAUGAUCACAAAAAUGUGAAAUUACUUGUUCACUUUUAACAGAAAUAAAUGAAAC